rnacentral:lncRNA from 1 species
UAAAAUUCUCUGGAAAGUUGAUAUCUAAAAUAUAAUGACCAAAUUUAUCAGUGUGUUGGUCCACUGUGUUGACCCAAUUGAGUUUUGUGAGCAGUGCUGUGGUAAAAUACACAGAUCUCUAUCUUUUUGUUCUUUUCUACAUUUCAGACCCAUGCAUGCUUUUUAUAAGACAAAAAGGUAGAGUGGAUGCAUAUGAAUUUGAAAAUAAUCAUAGCAUGCUGUUCUGUUUUAUUCUUGAUUUAUAGUCUCUCUUCAUCCAGAGCAUUUUACAGUCUGUGUCUCCCUGCUUUAAAUACAGACAGAUACUGGGUGGGUGAUGUGAAAAUAGAGGGCAAGAAAUUUGAUUUUGAGAAAGGGGAAGGUGUCUGAUUUUGCUUUACAUGAAUUCCGUGUAUAUUUUAAACGCAGUUUUAUUCAAACACAAUCUAUUUUGGUUUUUUUUCCUAGAAGAACAGAUAUUUUUUUAAAUGGAAGUAUUUCUCCACCUGCUGGCUUCAAGGAGGAUAUUGCAGCCUUCCAAACAGACAACUUCAUACAGGCAGUGGAAUACCUGCAUAAUAAAAGUCUGUUUGGGAUCAACAACAUUUCUGUGCUGAUACUCUGGAACUGCUGCAUCUGUAAAAACACUCCUGUUGUGAGGCCCUAAAGAACUCCUCCUAGAAAAGUGCAACCAAAGAAUAACCAAAAAUGAUGAUAAUUCAAUGUGAUGUAAGCAAUGCCACAGUUGAAGACUGCUCUCCAGAAGAGACCAAAAUCACAGCAGUGUUUGCUAACAAGGCUAUAACUUCACAUGAUUGGCACUGUAGUUUUGAGGAAAUUUCAACAUGUUGGUCAUUUCACAAGAAAUUGCAAGUAGUUUUGUUAGGUAAAUGUUGAUCAUUUGACAGAAGUUAGAUAGCAAUAUCUAUUCAGUAUUCAGUGUUGCACUAGAGAAGACAUUUAUGCUAUAAUAAAACAAUGUAAUUCUGAUAACCA